AUAGAGGGUCCAAAUAACAGACCCUGCUCUUGGGAAAGUCUGCUGCUUCCCCUAGCCUAGGUUAAGGACAUCACUGGGAAACUUCCUGAUCUGGUAUGGCCCUUGGAGUAUUGCCGGUUGCUGCUUUUCCUUGUGGGUGGUGAUGAAACCACAAGGUACAGUCCAGAGUUAAUCUAAAGUGUCUUCAGAGUCUUGGCACAAUUGGGGAGGGAAUCUGGAACACAGGUCACAUUUUCCUUCCAGCCACAGGAAGCAACAUUGGAAGAAAUAGAUGGGCCCAGUGUGUUAAUACCUGACUGAGAUGUGCUGACAAUGCUGCAGCACACUGGAAGAUUUACAGAGAAGAGCCAGGUGUUCCUCAGAUGAUAGAACUCACCACGGAAACUACUGGUACAUUACUAGUCCAUAACAAAAAAGAGCGUUCUUUGAUCCUCCUUUGAUCCAGUGAAGAUUCUGGGAUGCCAUGAUGGCUGCUUGUAGUUCCACUAGUAUUUUGGGUGGACUUGAACACCCCUUGGAAGUGAAAUCCAGAAAACAAACCAGUCUGGAACAAAGUAGGAAAAAAUGGUAUGGGGGAAAUUAAUAACCAUAGGAAGAGGACCAACAGCUAUCCUUUUUUGCCAGGUUCUUACACAAAAUGUGCACAAACUCCUACAAAUCUAGAGUUUUAAAAUUUAAUAUUCCAAUAUGCUUUUAUAAAGUACAUAAAAGGGUUGUGUACAUGUGUCUAGCAUAACCUGAUAUGGAGAAGAAAGACGACUGUUUUAAGCCUUCUUCUCUAGUGAAUGGUACCAAAGACCUCACUGAAAAUCACAGUCCUUCUGGAGGCUGUGACAGGAGGGAGUCUUUCUGAUGUGGAAUAUGGGAAUGUGAUCUCAGUUAUGGCUUAAUUCUUUUGUUUGUAGCCUGAGUGAUAAUAGAUAUGAAAGAAGGAGUUGAAAAGAAGUUUAAAGGAAUGAAUGAAUGAGUGAAGAUUUGUUUUUUCCCAAAAUGUGUUUAGGCUUCAUGAUUUUCUAUUUAUUUCUAUGUAAAUUAUGAAUUAAAGGUAGGAAGCUUAGGAGCAUGUAGCAGAGGGAGAGAUAAGCAGAAUAUUUAGCUAAACAAUCUGGAAAUUAAUAAAACACAUACCAAAACAAUUUUUGUAUCUAUU
ensembl:lncRNA